UAGGGAAUCUUCGGCAAUGGACGGAAGUCUGACCGAGCAACGCCGCGUGAGUGAAGAAGGUUUUCGGAUCGUAAAGCUCUGUUGUGAGAGAAGAACGUUGGUAGGAGUGGAAAAUCUACCAAGUGACGGUAACUAACCAGAAAGGGACGGCUAACUACGUGCCAGCAGCCGCGGUAAUACGUAGGUCCCGAGCGUUGUCCGGAGUUAUUGGGCGUAAAGCGAGCGCAGGCGGUUCUUUAAGGCUGAAGUUAAAGGCAGUGGCUUAACCAUUGUACGCUCUGGAAAAUGGAGGACUUGAGUGCAGAAGGGGAGAGUGGAAUUCCAUGUGUAGCGGUGAAAUGCGUAGAUAUAUGGAGGAACACCGGUGGCGAAAGCGGCUCUCUGGUCUGUAACUGACGCUGAGGCUGGAAAGCGUGGGGAGCAAACAGG
rnacentral:rRNA from 1 species